UAACACAAUAACCGCUUUCCUUCCCAAAUUCCAAAUAAAUUACCCAAUUAUUCUCUCUUCUCUCUCAUUCUCUUUGUUUUCCAUCUUCACCAAUUCUCCAAACCCUAAUCUCAAGCAAUCACCGGUAACUUUCUUCCAUCAUCUCUUAAUUACUUUGUGAAAUUCGCCGAUUCUUCCGAUCCAAAACGGAGUUUUUCGAUCUCUUUUUUCUUGCGAUAUUCAGGAAUCAUGGCUCUCGCCCAGACUUACUAUUCACAAGGUGGCCCUUUUCGUGGAGACUCCAGGUCUUUUUAUGGCAGAAACCAGAGUAGAGGAAUGGUCCAUUCCUCUGCUUACAACAAUUAUAACACUGUUGAUACCCAUCUUUUCAACUCUAAUAGUUCCCAUGACGUGGGUAGAAAUUUUAGCGAGUAUAGCUACAGUUAUGAUAAUCUCAUAAAGCCUGAGGCUGAACCUUCUUCGAAGAGGCGGAAGUGCUCAACUUCUGGUUGGGAAAGCACUGGCAGGUACUCUCAAGCACCCAAUGCAUGUAAAGAUGUUCCUUCAAAGCAACAACGCACAUGCUAUAAUGUUCCUUUAAGGAAUUCCAGAGCGUAUGAUGACGCCUAUCCAACCCGUAACAAUAAUUCUGCCACUACUACCACUACUGCUAGACCUCGUUCUGAUGCAAGCGCACCCACAUGUUCUAAGCGCGACCGCUCAUGGCUUGAAGAUACCGAAACUGAUAAUAUCUUUAUGUCCAAAGAGGAAAUUGAGAAAUGCUCUCCAUCCAGGAAAGAUGGUAUUGAUGCAAUGCAUGAAGCACAUUUGCGAUACUCAUAUUGUGCUUUCCUUCAGAACCUUGGAAUUCGCUUGGACCUGCCACAAACCACUAUAGGAACUGCCAUGGUUCUGUGUCACCGCUUCUUUGUGAGGCAAUCACAUGCAUGUCAUGACAGAUUUUUGAUUGCUACUGCUGCUCUCUUUCUUGCGGCGAAGUCAGAAGAGACUGCAAGGCCUCUCAACAAUGUUCUGAAGGCCUCAUGUGAAAUUUUCCACAAGCAGGAUCUUGCAGUUCUAUCAUAUUUUCUACCCGUGGACUGGUUUGAGCAGUACCGUGAACGCAUUACUGAGGCUGAACAGAUGUUAUUGACCACUCUAAAUUUUGAACUGACUGUGCAACAUCCAUAUGAAUCUCUUACAUCCACCCUUGAAAAAUUAGGGCUCUCUGAAACAGUGUUGGUGAAUCUGGCACUACAUCUUGUCAGUGAAGGGGUCUAUAGAAGGAUUAGCUUGCUCUCCUGUAUGAUAUUUGCUGGCGGUUGAUAUGCUGUACAUCAAAUGUUUUGUUUUACAGUCUGAAGUUAAAACUAGCCAUUUCUUGUGGAUGCUUUUCCAUGCUGACAUCUUAGUAAUAUGGCCAUUGACCUAGAAGAAUGUCAAAGAUGCUCCAGAAGUUUGCUAUAUGAUACUUUAUGUUUUUCAUGUUCAAAUGAUGUGGAGUCCUCAUGCACUUUUUCUCUUCAUGUAGCCUAUUCCACAGGUUGUCCGCGUAGGAUGCUAGUGAUUUGGACCGGGAACUCUUUAAGGGUUGGUGGUGUUUUCUCGACACCUCAAUGGUGGGGUAUGGGUUAGUCCAGGUUUUGGAACUGGUCAAUACAGGCUUUAGAAGUACUCUUCUUGUUGGAGCAAAGAAACUAUUCCUUAAGCAUGGUAUAAUAAAGAGUAACAUCCUGAAGGUAUAGUAACCUUUGUGGCCGAGUAGGUCUGAGUAGACUAUUGUUUUCUGGGUUGAUAAUUUGGAAAGAUUAUCGUGCUUCUGUAAUUUGUAGUUCUGGUACCAUUUCUUCUUUCCCUACCUCUAUUAAUGAAAUGUGCCAUGGUCUGGGGCUUGCUGUUUUGGUUCCCAGAUUCCAUUCGGUGCUCCCAAUCUCUCCUUUUUGAAAAAAAGAAGAAGAAAUUACCAGAACUUUUUCCUACUUCUCUUCUUGAUCAUCUUGAUCUUCUCUCCUUCAGCUACUAAUCACAUGCUGAAUCCAGCUUUUCGAGUUCGUCUGGUAGGAUAAUUCAUCGUCCAACUGACAGAUGUAUUAACAUUUACACCUGCAUCUGAGUAGGCGCUGCUCUAUUCCCUUACAAUAAGCGUCAAUUGAAUAAUGAGGCUUGAUUUCUGUCCUUUCCCUGGUUCUGUUCUUCUUGAUCUCUGAAAAGACAUUAGCCUAUCCAUUAUUUUCCAUUUGGACACGUGACCAACUCCGAUGGACAAGCUUGGUUCGUUUCGACGGAGCACAUAUUGGAGGACCUAAUCUCCCUCCUCUUUCAUUGCCUUGCUGCUGUAUGGCUAGCGCCCGAUAUUGGUAGUUUGUCUCUGUGCUAGGAUACUGCACUUAAGUGGCAAUGAUUCGGACCAGGGAGUCGAUUAGUGGUGUUAAAUGCUAGUGUUUUAUCUCUUCUGGUUGCUUGAUGGAACUCUAAAUUGGAAGUCCUACUAUAAUCAAGUAUACUUGCACUCGCUCGAAUCCCUUCUACAGCAUUUUAAUUCUCAAAAAAAAAAAAGUAUACUUGCACUGGCAUAGAUGGGAUGACAGAGUUGCUGAGGUCAAAGUAGUUUUUGGGGUAAUGAAAGGAUUACUGCACUUUUUACUCAACUAUUUGGUAACCUAAAAUCAAUGUCCCAAGUUUUAUUUUAUUAUAUAUACCCACACAUAACAAAGAAGUCAUUAUAUUACUUAUAGAAUGUAUAUUGAUAUUUAUAUAUAUAUUAUAUUACUUUUUUUUCUUGGUUUCAAGUUUGUUGUUCAGAGCAGAGGCAUUCUCUUAAGGUUCUUAUGGCAAGGCCUUGUAAUGCAUAGAGAAAAUUGCUAUGGUGAGGUGGAGCUCUAAUGUGUAAAAUUUACUCAUUAAAUAUUUUGAACCUCUUUACUAUCUAUAUAUGUACCUAUCUAUUAUUUUUUGAAGUGUGAGCACCAUAGUGGCUUGAAAACAUUUUUUAUGCUUAUCAAUCUUUGUGGGUGAAAGUUUGUUCACUCAAUUAAGUCAAAGAAAUUCAAUAUAUUUAUUCUUAUAAAGCUCUUCUGAAACUAGUAGUUUCAGAGACCAUAUACAAAUCUAUAUACGCCCCCCUCCCUAUAUAUAUAUACACACGCGCGCGCGCACAUACUUCAUAAAAAAACUAUAUGGAUAAGGUGCACACACACAUAUGUUAUAGUGUUACUCCCGAUGAGAAGCCUUCACUCCUUGCGCUGUCUUCUCCUUUUGGCUUGGUUAGUGGAUUGGGUAGCAUAUUUUCCAAAUAUUGUAGAAUGCCACGUAGCCAGAGAAGUUUACUUGGGAAAAAUGUCUUAAUUGGUAAAUAUUGUAGUUGUACUGGGCACUAGUUUUCUACAUGUUAGUGUCUUCCUAACAUCGAGCAGUGGUUAGCCUUAAUUGUCGGUGUUCUGUUUAGGUUUUUAGGACCAACUUUUGGUCAAGGAAUGGUGGGGUCUCUUUUCUGGGCAAUUUUGUUAGUUCAUUCAUGGUAGAUAUGGUAGGAAAUUAUUUAUAUGUACUACAGUACGAGUGAAACUAGAAGUGAGGGCCAAAGCUGGCAAGUCCACAAGUUCCAUUGUCAUUUAUCUGUGGAUCAUAGUGAAAAAGGAACGCAACAGUUGUUGCUUCUUCUGUCUAUCUAUUUUGGUAUAUGAGGUGCAUAUAUUUUGGGGUUAUGCUGCUGCAGCGGAGCUGGGACUAGGAGUUGGUGCUCUCUAGAUGGGUACAACAUGUUUGUUAUAUAUUUCAUUCUCUCUCAACACUGUGCAGAAGAACUCGGUUGCUGCUUUCGUAGUUGGUAAGAGAAAGUUGCCUCGGCUUGCUCUUUUGGCUUUUCCACAUGACUCAAAACAAUUGUUAAUGGAUCCGUAAAUGUAUUAAACUUGUAUUCUUGUUACUGUUUAUUGGCCAAUGUACCUUUUUGAAAAGUUUUGGAUCCCAUGCUGUUCUUGAAAUAUGGCUAACAAGUGAUAUGGUGUUGCUGCAGAUGUUGCCUAUCCAUUUAGUCUUCAGGGAAGUAAAUUUUGUGAAGCAUUAGUAUCUCCUAUUCUUAGACGAUUUCCUUUUGCAGGCUCCGAAGUUCACUCUGGCUGCAGUUCAAGCCUUACCAGAUUGCUGCUGGGGCUGCAUAUCUUGCAUCAAAAUUUCUGAACAUGGAUUUUGCUUCACAUCAUUCUGUCUGGAAAGAGUUUCAAACACCGCCAAAUGUACUUAGAGAUGUUGCACAACAGUUGAUGGAGCUCUUUUAGGAGAUGAUUAUGAGAGAGAGCAGUAACAUGAGCAACUCAAAAAAGACGAUAUCAACAUUUUUUCAGUCUUGGCUUGGUAGAUGUAUUUGUAGAUUCUACCAUCAUGCAUAGUAUUAAUUUGGGGAUCAAUUCAGUAUAUAGGUUCAUUUUGGAAAUUUUUAGUUUGAAAUUAUCUGUGGAGGAGUGCCUCUGUCUGUGCCUGUUCAUCUAAUUGAUCAAAUAGUUAAAGAAAUUCAUGCUCUGUAAAUUGUUUCUUUUUUCACUGUUAAAGUGUUCAUUAAUUAUUGGAACCUCGGCCUUUAAUGGUAUUCUUGUUUUAGAAUGAA